GGUUACCCAAGACAUCGCCGCAGCCACCUGUCUAGUUUCACGUUCGGUGUCAGGAUUACACUUAACAUCAGACGUUUUGAAUCACAUGGUGCAUUUUGCUCUACUCUUCAGUGGCACAAUAGAAACACCAACUUUCUUCGGAGCCACAAAAGGAAAGGAAAGAUCCUCCAUAUAUCCGAGCUAGCGGUAUCAGUUCCAAGCGUACAUAUAGCUAGCUUGUUAGAAUCAUGCACGUAUGACACUUUAUUUGGCUCUGGCUCUAGCGUAUAUAUUACUAUAUAUGGUGCAGGUUCGAUCACGCAAAGAGAUAUGAUGAUCCAGUGCUGGUCUGGGAUUAAAGCCUCUGAGGCUGAUCAUUCGGGACAGUAGGUGGUGAAUGUGGGCAGAUCAACAGCUGGGGCCCCCGGACGGUCAAUGGUCCUGUUCGAAACGGCAAACCCUUUGUAAAAUAUUGGCAGUCUCUAUGCAAAUUUUAGCACUGAUGGUUCCUAGAGAACCGACCCCAGACAUCAAAUAUACAAGCUAUGACAUUCUGUGUAAUACAAUCCCCGUUCCAAAUUAUAAGUUGUUUUGACUUUUCUAAUAAAUUUAUAGAUAUUAUUAUGCAUCUAGAUAUACUGUAUAUAUUGUAUGUCUAGAUGCAUAAUAAUACUAUAAACCUAGUAUGUCUAGAUGCAUAAUAAUAUCUAUGAAUUUAUUAGAAAAGUCAACACGACCUGUAAUUUGGAAUGGAGAGAGUAAUAUACAUUAUAUUAACCAUUUUUGGAAUGCUAUAAUGUGCACAUCGUUGUUACAUUUAUUAUUGACUUCUUUUUAGUGCUUAGUAUUCUCAUUUGCUUGCUGUUAAGCUUAUGUUUAAUUAUCGGACAAGUAAAAAGUUAUAUCUGAAACCUAAAGCUGAAUUUAACAACCAAACGUUUGUAGACUAACAUUUAGGAGAAAUAAUAUAUAUAAUCCAUUUCUAUUCUGAAAAUUGGUCACAAAUUUUCUCCAUAAUAAACAAAUUAAUCAACUCUAAAGUUUGAUAUUAUUCACAAAGGAAUAAUGUCCCGGCCGGCAUUAUUGGUUGGAUCUACAUAUUUUUUUAAUAUUUAAUUUUUUUUUCAAAUCACAUGGUACAGACGCAAACGCUCAUAUACACGUACGCAC
rnacentral:lncRNA from 1 species